CAAGACGUAGCUAUAACAGAAAGCAUUCAGCUUACACCUGAAAGAUAUCUGCCACCCGCCAGAUCGUCUUGA
rnacentral:tRNA from 1 species